rnacentral:rRNA from 1 species
GGCGAACGGGUGAGUUACACGUGGGCAAUCUGCCCUGCUCUCUGGGACAAGCCCUGGAAACGGGGUCUAAUGGGGGAUACAACCACUGACCGCAUCCUCGGGGGUGGAAAGCUCCGGCGGUGCAGGAUGAGCCCGCGNACUAUCAGCUUGUUGGUGAGGUAGUGGCUCACCAAGGCGACGACGGGUAGCCGGCCUGAGAGGGCGACCGGCCACACUGGGACUGAGACACGGCCCAGACUCCUACGGGAGGCAGCAGUGGGGAAUAUUGCACAAUGGGCGAAAGCCUGAUGCAGCGACGCCGCGUGAGGGAUGACGGCCUUCGGGUUGUAAACCUCUUUCAGCAGGGAAGAAGCGAAAGUGACGGUACCUG